rnacentral:tRNA from 1 species
GGGCGAAUGGUUUAGUGGUAUAAUACUCCCUUAGCAUGCUUCGUCUGAACAACUUGGGAGUGGUCCAGGGUUCGAUUCCCUGUUCGUCCA